CCCUAGAGGAGAAAAGAUUGUUACUAAAGCUGUUGGACUUUCUCGCAGAAAAUCAGUUGGGGAGGUGGGUGGGAAGGGAAGGAUGUGUGUUCUCAUUAAAGAAUUCCUCAGAUGUUUUCUUUAGGUCCUCUUAACUCUUCAUGAAUCUGUCACUGGGGAGCGUUUCCAGCCGAUGCAUGAAAAGUUAAGACUAUUGCCAUUGGUAUAAUAGGCAAACUCGGAGGACGCUCUUCCUCGGGCAGAGGAAGAGUAGGAGCUGAUGUCUCCUGAUCCUUGCAGUGGACACAUUUGAUUGCAUUUAAUCCUUGACUUUUUUUCCUGGUUUAAAUGAGUGGGUCAGGAGUAGCUGCAGUGAGUAUGAGACCCCGUGGGACUAAUGAGAUUACUUGCACGUGUUCAUAUCUGCAACAUCUGGACUACAAUCUCCAGAUCCUCCAGGCCUGCCUGCUUGUGAGCAGGCCUGAUUUAGUGCAGCCUGUGAUAUGAGAGAUCCCAGACCUGGCGCUUGGAAUGAACUUGCUUAAAAGUAACCUUGCAAACACUUAAUUAAAAGGAGAACCUGAACUCCAUAAAGACUCAGGAGUCUGCAUGGGGGCAGGUCACCUUUUAAUAUGACCUAAUAUCGAAGUGUUUUGUUUAGUUACAGCAUGUAAUCUAGUAUCUCGACAAUUACAAAUGUGGAUAUUUGCUCAGUUUGAAACUAAGAUAUACAAAGUGAUGAGAGCUGCUGCAUGUAAUAAAAAGCCUAAUACGCUUUCAAAUCUAGCAUAAGCAAAUUGAAAUUCAGCCAGUGAAGCCCCUGGGGUUGCCACGAUUUGCACUAGCAGCAGAUCCGGCCCCGGUUUGGCAGUCUUAAAACCAGCCCCAGUUAGGAAAGGAAACAACAGUACAGCCCCCAGAGAUCCUGUUUUUAGCUGCGCGGGAGCAUUGUUCCCGCCGUCAUCUGCGAGGGCUGAGGCUCCAAGUGGGAAGGGAAGCAGUGUGCCGCUAAGGAUUUGGGUUAUGUGACAAACAAGACGUCCUGAAAUUUUCCUUUGCUGUAGAUCUUGCAAAAUCUUUCUGGGGGCAUGUGCGCAGGGGAAAGGCUGGGCGCUUCCUCGCUGCUUUGCUCUGCCCUUAGCUUCCCUGCAGUGCUGCUCACCCGUUUCGGUUCCUCAUAUCGCAUGGCUUUCUCAGGGGAAGUUUCAUCUCUGCUCUUUUCUCAGGGAUAUCGUUUGAGCUCCUUGCGCCCUUCAGCCAGAGGCACAGAGCCAAAAAGCCACGUUGCUGCUGAAGACGGAGCUUCCUGCUGGAUGGGGGAUCCAGUGCCGGGGCUCCCGAGACCGUGGAGUCAGCGACGUGGGUGUUUCUGGCUUGGAAUUCUUCUGUUUUGCUAAGUGAUUCAUUCUCAAAGGUGGGAUUGUGUUGUCCAAAAGCCUGGACUGCAGGAGUGAUGCUAACAGAGUCAUUCGUAACAUGUAGAUGUGCAGGACAGAGCCAGUUCUGGAGCUCUGAUUUUUUUUUUCUUUCGAUCUCCUUCAGGAUAUUUUUAAAUGUGGGAUUUUUUUUUUUCUAUAAGCUGUACUUAGUGCUGAAAAAACAGCAUUGCCUCCUCGCUGGCAGCAUACCAGUAGAUGGUGAUUGCCUUUCCAUCGCGUGACGCUGCAGCCUCUUAAAGCACAUGCAGCGUCUGUGUCCCCUCUCCCCUGGCCACAAAGGGAAGAAGAAGGAAAAAAACACUGGAAAAAUCUUCCUGCUGCAGAAAGCUUAAUUCAAAGCUAAUGGUCAGCAAAUUUCAGCAAAGCAGCAGUUUUGUAAGCAAUGCGAGUAAAUCCUUGGCGCAGAAGUGGUCCAAUCUAAGCAAUCGCUGCACUUGGGCUGUGGUCACGGUGUUUAAAUUGCACUGGCAAGCUGUAACCAGGGGAGGAGCAAGGCACCUCUGAAUUCUGGGGAGAUUUUUUUGUUUGUUUGUUUUUCCCCGCUACAAGUCCUGAGUAGGGACUAUCUAGUGUGGAGACACAGGUGGAAUUUAGGCCAGGGCAUUUAAACUCGUGUUAAUACACCUUUUAAGUGAUUCCUUGCUCUGCCCCUUCACCACCCAGAUUCAUUAGGGCUGGACUUGUGUAUGCUGGUUGCUGCAAGCUCUUUUGUAAUCUGGGAUUAUGUGGGGGUUUUUUCCUUUGCCAUUUGUGUUGCCUCUGGAAGUAAAAUAUACUGUUUCCUUAGCUUGCCUGUGACUUGCUCAAAUGACGUUUGUUCUGUCUCGUUCCAUUUUGGGUUUGUUUUCCAGAAUGGCAGAAGCAUCCAGCAAAUGUUGGCAGACAAGCAGUUAGGAACGAGCCAUCAAACUUUUCACCUCUGGGCUUUCAAUCAGGGUGGCUGCCUCCAGGCUUAAGGGCUUUCAGUUAAGCAGAUUUGUAGAUUCAAAAGCCUUCCUUGGAUGCAUGCGGGUAAGGGAGAGAACCAGAAGUAUGUUUUCUCGCUGGCCGGAGAGAUGAUGGUUGUGGUGGGUACGUGUUAUACGUAAUGCAAGAGUUACCUGUUAGAGGGGGCCCGCCGAUGGCUGCUAUCCCAGCAAAGAAGGCAGAAAAUCCCAAGUAGCUGUGGAGUUUUUGUACACCAACUAGAUCUACCUGUUUUUAUAAAAACCAAAUUGAUAAUUAUUGGUAUAAUGUAUGUGAGUGCUCAAGCACAGAAGGUUUUUCUGGGGAGCCGCGUCUUCAGCAGCCAUACAGUGUUUUAAAGGACCUUGCCCCUAUGGAUCUGGCUCAGCCUUGCAUCUCUUCGCAUCCUUAAGGUCAGUACUGAAAUUACUAGGAUUUCUGUCUUUCAGCUGUCUGGGCAUCUUGAAACUGGUAAAGGCUUCAAAGUCUUUGAGGAAGGUAUUUUAAACUCUGAAUGUGGAAUUGUAAGGAAGAUGCCUUCCUAUCUGAAUCCUGCCAGUGCAGUCUGCCUGACCUGGUUUGUAUGCGUGACAGAUAAUUUUGUGAUCUGGCCUGAUAGUCACGACCCUCUGUCUGAGCAUUGGUGCUUGAGAUAGCAAAUGAACGGAGUUAGUGGGUCCGUUCUGGUUCCUGUGUGGCUGAGCAUGAUCUGUGAGCUGCAGCAAGCUCGUGUAGAAAGGAGGAUUUGGGAGGCGAUUAGCUGAGUCAGGUCGCUAGAAGUCUGCAAUAAACUCCCAGUAUUUCUGUUGUCUGGCCUGGGAAUACCAGUAGGGAGCUUUGGGGCUCUGCGGUGGCUUGAACUGGGAAGCCUGGAGGGCAGAGCCCUCUUGGGCAAGUCUGCAACAGCCAGCUUUGUGAAAGGGGUUUGGGGUAUUGUGGAGUAUUGCUGGAUACACGGGAUAUUAACUUUUUAAUGAAAUUUCCUACUCACCAGCACAGGGAGCACCAGAGCCAGGAAUCCACCGCAGAAAAUGGCGAAGGCUACCACGUAGGCCAUGAGUAACGGGAACGUCGUGGCCAGGGGACAGAGCAGGUUCGUGAUGCCGCACAGCACGAGGUAAGUCACGUGGUAGUGGUACUUCUUGGUCCAGUUCUGGUCGGCAAUCCAGCCGGAGAGCAGCUGGCUGACCAUCUCCGUGAUGCCUGGUGGGAAAGCAGAGUUCACUGGAACGUCAGAAGAAGACUUUUUUUUUUUUUGUUGCUGCUCUGUGAUGCACUACGUUGUUCUGAAAUGCAUCCCGAUUCUGCCCGCUGUGUGCAUUAAGGAUGUGACCACAAAGGACUGAAAAGCUGAGAAGUUACAGGAAGGCAUUUUUGGGCUGUUAUAAAAUUCAUGCCUUUUUUUUUUUUUCCCCUCCCUCCUUGCCUUGGUGCCUGCUAUUGCCAAAUGCCUAUGGGUGCAUGAAAGUGGUCUGUAAAAAUCCGAUUAAGGGCUGUGCAGUCAGCAUAAACUUCUGAAAGGCCCUUCAGUAAAAAUAGGAAAGAUCAGUUCGUCACUCUUUAUCUUUUUUAAGAUAAACGAAAAGCAGAAUAUUAAGAAUUAUGCUUACAGCUAUUUUAAUUUUUAUGAAGACUCCAAAAAGGACAGAAGCCCAAUGUUUUUUAAAGGAUAGACAAACUUUUUUUUUAACACUUUUGGAUAUGUAUUUAUAGACUAAAUAUCAGAGGAGUGUUAACUGUCAGCUAAUACCUUGCUGACCUCUGUCCCUCCUACUCUUAAUUCAAAAUGUCACCUGCAGAUGAAUUGCUGUGCUUUCCAUCUAGAUUCCUUGACAACAUACCUCAUUUCUAAAUAUUAUACCGCCAUGUGGAAGUAAAAUUUAUUUUUGUACAAUAAAAUAUUUUACAAUGA